rfam:Crassostrea gigas strain 05x7-T-G4-1.051#20 contig9237, whole genome shotgun sequence.
ACCUGGAUAGCUUAAUGGAAAAGCACUUGUUUGACACAAGAGAUUUAGGUUCAAAUCCUAAUCUGGGUA